GGUGUCGGUUCUGGGGCAUUUAGGCGGACAGUUUAGACAACCCAUGUUCUUUAUUUAAUUUGGAUAGUGGGUUAGGUAGGGAUGGGUGUCGGUUCGUCUAAGCUUCCAGAGGUGAGAGCAUAUUGGCUGGGUGACUUCUGAGUAGCGCUGCUAACUCACUUGCAAGCUACAAUGUACCUUUACCUCGUUUAUACCUACCUUAAUUAAUAAUUUUGUCAACUGUUUUUAUUAUUCUUUAUUUGGGGUGGUUGUCAGUCCAUCUAGGCGUCCAAAGUGCAUGCAUAUCGGUCAGGUGAGUUCUUAGUAUCGUUACAUGAUUGGAGGCCACAGUCCAUCUAGGUGUCCAAAGUGCAUGCAUAUCGGUCGGGUGAGUUGUUAGUAGCACUAAUCACUUGGAGGUCACAGUCCAUCUAGGCGUCCAAAGUGCAUGCAUAUCGGUCGGGUGAGUUCUUAGUAGCGCUACACACUUGGAGGUCACAGUCCAUCUAGGCGUCCAAAGUGCAUGCAUAUCAGUCAGGUGAGUUCUUAGUAGCGUUACAUGAUUGGAGGCCACAGUCCAUCUAGGCGUCCAAAGUGCAUGCAUAUCGGUCGGGUGAGUUCUUAGUAGCACUAAUCACUUGGAGGUCACAGUCCAUCUAGGCGUCCAAAGUGCAUGCAUAUCGGUCGGGUGAGUUCUUAGUAGCACUAAUCACUUGGAGGCCACAGUCCAUCUAGGCGUCCAAAGUGCAUGCAUAUCGGUCGGGUGAGUUCUUAGUAGCACUAAACACUUGGAGGUCACAGUCCAUCUAGGCGUCCAAAGUGCAUGCAUAUCAGUCGGGUGAGUUCUUAGUAGCGUUACAUGAUUGGAGGCCACAGUCCAUCUAGGCGUCCAAAGUGCAUGCAUAUCGGUCGGGUGAGUUCUUAGUAGCACUAAUCACUUGGAGGUCACAGUCCAUCUAGGCGUCCAAAGUGCAUGCAUAUCGGUCGGGUGAGUUCUUAGUAGCACUAAUCACUUGGAGGUCACAGUCCAUCUAGGCGUCCAAAGUGCAUGCAUAUCGGUCGGGUGAGUUCUUAGUAGCACUAAUCACUUGGAGGUCACAGUCCAUCUAGGCGUCCAAAGUGCAUGCAUAUCGGUCGGGUGAGUUCUUAGUAGCACUAAUCACUUGGAGGUCACAGUCCAUCUAGGGGUCCAAAGUGCAUGCAUAUCGGUCGGGUGAGUUCU